AUUGAACGCUGGCGGCAGGCCUAACACAUGCAAGUCGAGCGGAGCGGCGGACGGGUGAGUAAUGCCUAGGAAUCUGCCUGGUAGUGGGGGAUAACGUCCGGAAACGGGCGCUAAUACCGCAUACUAUCAGAUGAGGCUAGGUCGGAUUAGCUAGUUGGUGGGGUAAAGGCCUACCAAGGCGACGAACCGGAACUGGUCUGAGCGGAUGAUCAGUCACACUGGAGUUGAGACACGGUCCAGACUCCUACGGGAGGUAGCAGUGGGGAAUAUUGGAAAAUGUGCGAAAUCCUGAUACAGCCAUGCCGCUUGUGUGAAGAAGGUCUUCGGAUUGUAAAGCACUUUAAGUUGGGAGGCGUUACCAACAGAAUAAGCACCGGCUAACUUCGUGCCAGCAGCCGCGGUAAUAC
rnacentral:rRNA from 1 species